rnacentral:rRNA from 1 species
UACGGGGGGGGCAAGCGUUGUUCGGAAUUACUGGGCGUAAAGGGUUCGUAGGUGGCCAACUAAGCCAGACGUGAAAUCCCUCAGCUUAACUGGGGAACUGCGUCUGGGACUGGAUGGCUUGAGUGCAGGAGAGGAACGCGGAAUUCCAGGUGUAGCGGUGAAAUGCGUAGAUAUCUGGAGGAACACCGGUGGCGAAGGCGGCGUUCUGGACUGCAACUGACACUGAGGAACGAAAGCCAGGGAGCAAACGGG